rnacentral:misc_RNA from 1 species
ACCCUUGAGUGGUAAUUUUUCCAAGGUCAUUAUGAAAUUUGUCUGUUGUCGUUGCGGACGAUUAGAGAGCUGGACUCUAUCCCGCGUGCUAUUGAUGAGUGAUAAUUAUCACAUCAUGCGCAGAGGCAAUGAGAAGUCCUGCUAAUGCAUUUAAGAGGAGCCGACCUGUCAAGGCCAGCAGCCCCCAACAAUCCAAACAUCACAAUUGGAAAAAAACCAAAGUGAGUUUGAGAAUUUAAUGACACUCACACAGGCAUGCCCCUCGGAAUACCAAGGGGCGCAAGGUGCGUUCAAAGAUUCGAUGAUUCACUGAAUUCUGCAAUUCACAUUACUUAUCGCAUUUCGCUGCGUUCUUCAUCGAUGCGAGAGCCAAGAGAUCCGUUGUUGAAAGUUGUAUUAUGGUUUAUAGGCACAAGGCCCAUUAAAUGACAUUCGCAGACAUACAUUUGGGGUGUGUUAGUAAAAAAACUGGGGAGGUACCCCCAAACCGUUAAAUCCCCCCAAACCCGACUCACACGCCCCGACACAAGAUCUCACAUCUCUCACAAGAUCACAGGGGGUUGAAAAAGAAUCGAAUCGUGAGCAUCUCCCUCUAGAGCCUCAACCCCACGCAAUUGUAUACAUUUAAGACACAUUCCCGCGGGCACCCCCCGGAACAUCUGUGACGACUCUUACAUCCACAAA